rnacentral:rRNA from 1 species
CGGGAGCUUGCUCCUGGUGGCGAGUGGCGAACGGGUGAGUAAUGCGUCGGAACGUACCGAGUAAUGGGGGAUAACGCAGCGAAAGCUGUGCUAAUACCGCAUACGCCCUGAGGGGGAAAGCAGGGGAUCGCAAGACCUUGCGUUAUUCGAGCGGCCGACGUCUGAUUAGCUAGUUGGUGGGGUAAAGGCCUACCAAGGCGACGAUCAGUAGCGGGUCUGAGAGGAUGAUCCGCCACACUGGAACUGAGACACGGUCCAGACUCCUACGGGAGGCAGCAGUGGGGAAUUUUGGACAAUGGGGGCAACCCUGAUCCAGCCAUGCCGCGUGAGUGAAGAAGGCCUUCGGGUUGUAAAGCUCUUUCGGCCGGAACGAAAUCGCGUACGUGAAUAACGUGCGUGGAUGACGGUACUGGAAGAAGAAGCACCGGCUAACUACGUGCCAGCAGCCGCGGUAAUACGUAGGGUGCGAGCGUUAAUCGGAAUUACUGGGCGUAAAGCGUGCGUAGGCGGUUUUGUAAGUCAGAUGUGAAAUCCCCGGGCUUAACCUGGGAACUGCGUUUGAAACUACGGAGCUAGAGUGUGGCAGAGGGGGGUGGAAUUCCACGUGUAGCAGUGAAAUGCGUAGAUAUGUGGAGGAACACCGAUGGCGAAGGCAACCCCCUGGGCCAACACUGACGCUGAGGCACGAAAGCGUGGGGAGCAAACAGGAUUAGAUACCCUGGUAGUCCACGCCCUAAACUAUGUCAACUAGUUGUCGGGAA